rnacentral:rRNA from 1 species
ACGGAAGGCAGCAGUGGGGAAUAUUGCACAAUGGGGGAAACCCUGAUGCAGCGACGCCGCGUGAGCGAUGAAGUAUUUCGGUAUGUAAAGCUCUAUCAGCAGGGAAGAAAAUGACGGUACCUGACUAAGAAGCUCCGGCUAAAUACGUGCCAGCAGCCGCGGUAAUUCGUAUGGAGCAAGCGUUAUCCGGAUUUACUGGGUGUAAAGGGAGCGCAGGCGGUUUGGCAAGUCUGAAGUGAAAGCCCGUGGCUCAACCGCGGGACUGCUUUGGAAACUGUCAAACUAGAGUAUCGGAGAGGCAAGUGGAAUUCCUAGUGUAGCGGUGAAAUGCGUAGAUAUUAGGAGGAACACCAGUGGCGAAGGCGGCUUGCUGGACGAUAACUGACGCUGAGGCUCGAAAGCGUGGGGAGCAAACAGGAUUAGAUACCCUGGUA